GACGUAGGGGACGAGCGUUGUCCGGAUUCAUUGGGCGUAAAGAGCGCGUAGGCGGCUGCGCAAGUCGGAUGUGAAAAUCCGGGGCUCAACCCCGGACCUGCAUCCGAUACUGCGCGGCUAGAGGUAGGUAGGGGAGAUCGGAAUUCCUGGUGUAGCGGUGGAAAUGACGCAGAUAUCAGGAGGAACACCGGUGGCGAAGGCGGAUCUCUGGGCCUUACCUGACGCUCAGGCGCGAAAGCUAGGGGAGCGAACAGG
rnacentral:rRNA from 1 species